UGGGUUAUGGCUCAGUGGUAGAGCACUUGCCUAGCAUGUGUGAGGUACUGGGUUCAAUCCCUAGCACCACAU
rnacentral:tRNA from 1 species